UACGAAGGGGGCUAGCGUUGUUCGGAAUUACUGGGCGUAAAGCGUGCGCAGGCGGCCUUCCAAGUCAGGGGUGAAAGCCCAGAGCUCAACUCUGGAAUUGCCUUUGAGACUGUGAGGCUUGAGUACGGGAGAGGUGAGUGGAAUUCCCAGUGUAGAGGUGAAAUUCGUAGAUAUUGGGAAGAACACCGGUGGCGAAGGCGGCUCACUGGCCCGAAACUGACGCUCAUGCACGACAGCGUGGGGAGCAAACAGG
rnacentral:rRNA from 1 species